UUUCUACUCCCUCCGUCCGAAAAUACUUGUCAUCAAAAUGGAUAAAAGGAGGUGUAUAUAAAACUAAAAUAUGUCUAGAUACAUUUCCUUUUAUCCAUUUUGAUCACAAGUAUUUUCGGACGGAGGGAGUAUUUG
rnacentral:pre_miRNA from 1 species